GACACAGAAAUACAUUUUAUUAAAAAAAACCUGCUAUUAAUGUAAACACUCUAUGUACGCAUUAAUACAGGUACAAUGUUGAAGAUAAUUCAACGCAUUAACAAACUACCUCAGUCUAAGUGUCCUAAUACUUAUGGUUAGCACUGUACAUUUCUUUUUACGACUCCGUAAAACAACCAAUUCUGCAAACACGAGCCGCGAGUACGAUCGAUGAUAUGGAUUAAACGUAUGACGUAGGUAUAAGUUUUUAGUACUUUCCGACAAACCGACGCUAUAGUCAAAAAAAAAAAAAAAAAAAAAAAAAAGAAAAGAAAAGAAAAGAAACGAGGGCUAAUUUGGUAAAUCUAUUUUUAGUGCAGCUCCUCAUAGGUAUCAUUGUCUUAUCGCGACAAGUAUAUUUAGUAGAUAUAGUUAUAUACCAUAGUAAAUUUAUCCUCGAUAUUCCGAACGAUUACGCCCGAAGAAGAGACGAUAGUCCUGCAUCGUCGCUAAAAUUCUCUGCAAUUGUCCUGCAUUGCCGUUAUAUUCUGUGAUAGCAUCGGGACAAAAGAAUAAAAGUACUGUACCACUUAGCAAAGCUUAUCGCAUUAUGCAGUAACGGGUACCGUAGACACGCGUGCCUGUCCGCUUCUCACGUAAUAACGUCGGAAAGGCGGCAAUCGAUGCAGAUAAAAUAUUCGUGGGCAGUAUUCGCGCCGCUUUUCCAGGAAGCAACCUGAACGAGCGGCGUCAGUACUAUAGGAAGCACUGAUAAAGCAUGUACCGGCGUUGUUUCAUGGUCCCCGACGUGGUCGCCACGAGAGAGACACCGGUUGUGCGUUGCGUGCGACGCCAGGCGUCGGUCUAGGCGUCGUGGCGCCUCGACUUACCCUCCCCGUCUGUCAGUCGCCACGUAGGGUUAAACAGAAGCUCGAAGGUAGACUGACCUCGCAGACGUAGCUGUCCUUGGCCUCGGAAAAAGCCAAAAUUAGAAAUGGCACUUAGUAACGCGGAGAAAGAGAUUGGAGAAUGUUCAUACAGAAAGGGAAGUGAUGGGAAGUGGUAGAGGUCUGCUGUACAGUUGUCUGGAACGGAAAUGGGAUAAUGCAAUUGUCCCUCCUAUCAGCGGGGGAUUACUCAGUUCUCUACAAAUACACUCGGGGAUACAGGAAUUUUAAGCAUGCGAACAGUACACUUGCGCAUGGCUCGCCUUUCAUAGCCUCGGCUGUUACUUAUUGUUAGAGUUAAUACUAAUCUAAUGCGGCGAAAAUGAUAUCGAGAAAAUCAUCGAAACUUCCUGUCGAAACCAUUAUAUGUCAAAAAAUUCCAAAAUAUAGAUUGAUCGAGAAGAAAGAAUUAUAAAGUUUUAUGUUAGUGUGAUGUUGGGUCGAUUUCCAAAAUACGUAAUUCCAAAGUAAUUGUAGGAGAAAAAUCGAGUCAAAUUGCGCGGGAACAUCGAAUCCUCCGCUACCAUUUUCUCGUCAUCCAUUUUCUAUUUUCUAGGACGUCAUUGGUCUGGAAACGAAUUUUCAGCGAGUUCUCUGAUUGCGAGAUGUAUGAUAAAGCUUUAUCGAUGACCUGUGUGUGUCACAUAAUUUCCUGGGAAUGACCAGCGCGAUGAAUCAUUGUGCUUGAAUCGAGAAAUAUCACGCAAGAGCGAUAAUAGACGAGAAAAUUGUCAUUGUUAUCUGAACAAAAAAUAUUUAAAACAACGGGCCAGGAAAUUUCUGUCGAACAAUCAUAUCGUUCAAUGUUAUUCUGCUAAAAAAUUGUGUGUAAAAAUUUACUUUUGUCAGAUAAUUAUUCAGAAUCGAACGAACUAAAAGUAACAAUAGUUUAGUAACUGGUAGUCAGUAAUUUUCCAUUAUUUCAGUUAAACGUAAUAAUUAAAAUCAAAUAAUUACUCUCCAAAUUAUACUGUCGACACUAACGAAUCGCACAGGUCGUCGAUUACGAUGUAGUAUAAUGUAAUACAUGUCCUCAAAAUAACAUAUGUUGUAUAUUAUACAUAUAUAGUAUGUAUGUAUUAAGCUCCUGCAAUUUGCAGUGAGUCACGAAUCUGUUGGUCGAAUUAUCAAGCGCAACAUACAAGCAGAUCUCGUACAACAAUUCUAUACGUAAUUAUAUAUACGAUUAUGUAUACAAAAAAUGGUCACUAAAACGUUUCUUUGUUUGUCUCGACCACGUCGAAAUUACGUCGGAGUUUGCCUUCUAUGUAAAAAAAGUAAAAGUACAUUUUAUGUUCUACUAGAUUCACGACUAAUUCUGACAUGACCAGUCAUCGGACAUUUCAAUUAAAUUCUUGGAAGUUUCUUCAAUAACGAAACAUCCUUUCUGCUUGGAAGAAUUCAUUCUAUCGAUACACGUUAUUUCCAUGUCAUUUGAUAAAAGCCUCACGUCUAUGAUGAAAGCAGCAUUCAAGAUGAAAGCGGCCUGAUCGCAACGAAUCAUGAAACGCAAUAAUUUCACCCGCUAAAGUUAUCGACAGCAAGGAAAUAGCAUCGAGUUACGUUUCACUUUGUUGCGGAUUUAAUGGAUUUCACCAGACCAACUUCAUUUUCUCAAUUUAUGAAUUGAACGAACUGUAACCGAUAAAAAAAAGUCAUAAAUUUCAUAUUUCAUGCUUCGAUUCUCAUCCGAUACGAAGGAAUAUUGGAAAUAAAAGCAUACAUCCACGUCACAAGUGGCAGCACCGUUUCCGUUAACCAAUGUGGAUACUUCUAUGUAAACAGAACGAUACAAGUUAAUCCUUCGACGAACAUAUACACAGAAAGACAUCAUGGGUAAAUAUUCUAUCGAGUAGAACAAACAUGGCGGAUCCACUAACGUCUCGUCGCAAAGAAACGAAUAUACGCGCUUGAACGAACAAAAUCUUCUCUCUUAUUUCUCCGUGUAACUUGACCCGUCAAUAUUACAAAGUUAAAAGAAAGGAACAAAGGAAAUGGUACGAGAAAAAGAUAGUACGAAACUGCACCGUUUGAAGUAAUAGGAGAAUCGCUACUACGAACAAUUUUAUUCUAAUGAAGUGAACAAAAGGAAGAUUUAGUUGAAGUCAAUUAUUAAGGAAAGACUUAUAUGCGCCGACUAUGAUGCGUGAUCUUCUAAUUAUCUUUUUGAAUAUAUAUAGUUACAUCUAAUGAUAUAGUUUUUGAUUCUGUACAAUGAAAAUGCUGCUUAAUGCGUCAUUAUUACCGACAACCGGACAAAUUGUACGUGAUUCAAAGCCGUUCGCGUGACACAAAACAUUUUCAUUCACUGAAAGGCGCUUAAUCUUCCAUUACAUUCCAUAUGAUUUAUCGCUUGUUGUUCUCAAUCGUUCGACGAUUCAGAUUUGAAAUAUGCUGAUUCGAUACAUUGACUCACGAAGAUAUUUGAUAUAGAGAGCUUAUCGUAGAAAGCUAUCAUGUAUACGUAUAUUAUCUGAGUUAUACGAUACAUGUUAAGAUUUUAUUAAACAUUGUGACGAAACCAUUAUCAUGAUUAUAUUGGUAAAAUUUGGAAUCAAUCCGAAAAUGUACAUAAAAGUUACAAGGCAUACGCAGCAAACAUGAACUUGAUAAAAAAUAUCAAUAUAAAGCACGAAUUGUUGUAUGAAGUUGUCUUGAAUAUAUAUAAUAAACAAUUCCAGGAAACUUUACCGAUAUAAUCAUAAUAAUCGAGUCUCAUUAUGGUACUAAUGAAAUUUCAAAAUAUUUCGUACACAUAAUAUAUUGACAAAAGGCUGCUGUGUAUGUUCAAAUAUUUGCGCAAGUCGCAAAUUAUAAUCAUCAUAAUUCAAAAUUAAUUCGAACAAUGCGUUUUAUCGUUUACACGUGUGCGUACGUAACACGUUUAUACGUUUUGACAAAUAUUCGUUUGUUUCAGCGCGGAAGUAUUAAUUACGCUAGAAAGCUGUACAGGCGUAGACAAUUUUGUAGGAGUUAUAAAAUUUUGCAAUCCAACGAUUUCCUCCCUGCAUUUCAUAACGAGGAACAGUUAUUUUCCUUCGCUUUUUGUAUAAUUGCCAGACAAUUUCUGGAGCGUAACACGAAUCGCAUACCGGAAUUCAACCGAAGAUGGAAUUCAGCGCUAAAUCGAACGGGAAUAUCAAAAUACCAAAUAUAGUUACUGGAUGAUAAGAUACGAGAGUACCCUGCAUUUUAGUUGUUGCAUGAUUCAGUUCAAGAAACUCGUGAUCAGUGAACUAGUAUGUUAAUUCUUUCAGAAUGCUUUUGAGAUUCUUAUAAUCGAUAGAAACAAGCCUCUAUAUCAGAACCUAGUUCGUGAUGCCUAUAUAUAAUCAAUUAUUUUAGUUUACAUUAAAUCAUAACGAAUAAUAGAAUAACAUAACAUAUAUAUUAUCAGAAUAGUCUAUCAUAUAUUACGAUAGAAUCAUGUAUUAUAAUUUUCAAAUUCUCGUUAUGACAGUUUAUAAAGCUUCGAUUAUCAAUGAUUGCGUCAUUUGCAUGAAUGUUACACAGUUAACCAUCAGAAACGGAUUUGUUCCGUUCUGAUAUUAAAAUCGAGUAUGAAACGAGUUCCCAGCAAAGGGCGAAAGGGAAAGGUUCCAGGAGUUACGGGACUACUACGUGAGGCACGAUUCGCGAUCGCUUAAUUCCUCUAAAUUGCAUGGAAUUGAGGGGAAUAAUUUUCUCCAUUCUUGGCACCGACCAAUUGUACGGGAGGAAGAACGGCGACCAUCGUGGACGACGACAUGCAACAACGCACCCCAGGGUCACGCACACCAUGUGCGCGAAUAAAAGAAGACAGUUAGAGGACCCAGAGAAAGGGAGACCAUAGGACGAAGGGGAACAGAAAGCGAAAGGGAUGGAGAGUGCGAGGAGGACGAACGAAAAGGGAGCGAUGAAGUAAAAACAUAAAACAAAGAAGUCGAAGAAAAUAGAGAGGGCAGAAACUGAGAGAAAGUUGGAAAGAGAACAAGCAUAUAGCUGUUCGAGCACUUGAGAAAACCGAUAAUACUAACCAUCGUAUUAUCAAGUAUAUAGUAAAAAUAGUUCCACAAAAUAAAAAUUGAUAGAUCGCCAUUGAUUAAUUAAAUCAGUAUUAUUAAUCAUUGAUGUUAUUAAACCUUUGUUCUUCGGACUGUAGUUCAACUCGACUUUCGACCAUCGAGUCCUCUGAACGCCGCGAUCCCUCUACAAACCAGACCGUGAGAGAACGCACUGAACCGGGAGGAAGCACGCGUAAGUGUGCGUGAAGGGACAAGUAUAAAAGAGAAGCGAAAAUAUAAAAGAGAGUAAGUACGACGAAGAGCGUAAGAGAUUUAUAUACGUAGUGACAAGACCCGUGUAUUAACAAGAGAUCGCAUGAACAUGGAUGAACCCGUAUAAAAAAAUACGUAGAAGAAAAAAGAAAUGACUGGAUAUCGUUUAUGCGAAGCAGUAUCGCCCAGUCAUUUCAAUUGCUAUUACGUAUUGUUACGUGAUAGAUGGCAGUCGGAUAGGUUUACCUGCAGGAGGAGCGUGGUCGUCGGUCGUUCAAUCGAUCGACAGGGAAGACAUCAAGGCGCCUGCGAAACCAUAACCUCCAAGCAAAAUCGCAUGCACGAAUCUCGCGUGACUUGAUAUAUACACACAUAUAUAUAUAUAUAUCAAAGUGAAGUUGAUUCAACACGCAGCGAAAGUGCAGUCCGGCUGUCUGACGAUGUUCAUGUUCGUACCGCAAUUUCUGCGUACAGGUUUUGGUUAGGUUAAUACUCGCACGUCUAGCAAUGAAUCCUUUUAAACUUUAGACCCAGAAAUUAGUUUACAAAACUUUAAGAUUUCUGGUUUCUUUAAAUCUUUUGUGAUUAAUUACAUUCCACUGACAAUUUCAAGAUAAGAUCCGGAUUAGCAGAUAAGACAGAUUAAUUUAUGUAAAUAUGUAUACAUGUGUAUGCAGUCGAAAUCCGAUUAAGUGUAUACAAGUGUCAAGACGAAAUUUUUGAAGAGACUUUCUUUCUUACUGAAAUCGUUAAUAUGAAUAUCGAUCCAAGAAUGCAAAGGUUUGUCGUUAAAGCUAGCAAUCAACGGAGAUUAUAGAGAAAUAGAAAACGAAAGUCCAUCAAUAGCUUAACAUGGGCGUAAUUGCAUAAAUAAUAAUAAAUAUUAGAAUUACAAAGCGUGAGUCUAAAAAAGACUCAGCGGUGGUAGUGCGUUGGCUUUCAUAGGAGCAGCCAACAUCGUGGCAUCGGGUGGGAAUUAAAACAGCAUGUUCGAAUCGAUUCGACAUAUCCUACUCGUCUAAUUUCUUUCCAACGAACGUCAUUUAUCUUCCCGCACGGAGAGAUGUGAGCCGUUUAUCUGGUCACGCGUUUGCAUCUGCUAUAAAUAAAUGCCCAAUCAAACAUCGAUGCAAUACUAUUAAUGACUUUAUACUUCAAAACAUUACCCAAUUUUUCCGAUUUUCUGAAACAUUAAUGUGAUGAAUAAUUGAAAUAAAUUACCAAUUACAUCGGAGAUGACCUUCAUUUCCAAUGCCCAUUGAUAACUUUCAUUGGAUCCAAUGUAAGUUACAUUAUAGAAUUUCAGAAACUCUUUUUAAUACUUCUCAUUAAAUUAAAAUUGACCGACGUCUUCUUGCUCUUAAGUCAUCACCGUGGGACUUACGGUCAGUAUGACGUUAACCCAUGACAAUUAAUAUGCUUCUAAGUAGGAACGCAUUACCCCCAAUUAUCGCUGCUAAGACUUCCAUGCAGCUUCCUUAAGCGUUUAUAAGAAAUAUAGCGACGAUUAUUUCCAGUCUACUCUAUACUCGUCAUCAGCAACGAACUAUAAACUAUAACUGAAAACGUUCUGCUACAUUGAUUUUAUAAAAAAAAAAAUAUUUUAAUUAACCAUCACUUUCUAUGCAAAAUAGAAGUAAAUUUCAACUUCUUAAUAAGAUCUGGAAUAAGAUAUUGCUGGUCACGUGACGUGCGGUAGGCAUAGUGGGGCGUCGUUGUAGGUAGUAUAAUUAUUGGUACAAAGGGUCAAAAUACGACUAGUAUUUAAGGAGUGGGAUACACGCACCUAGUCGCAGAACAGGCUGCGGCAAUCUUCGGCUAAAUGAAGCAUACAUCAGACGUCUUCAUGACGUAUGAGGCGUCCAACGAUUUGUUUACGAGUCACUCUCCAAUCGGAACUCUUUGUUUUCGUUGUUGUGUUGAGCGCAAAUCGAGGAACUAACCUCAACGUUUGUAUAUAUCAACCGAUUAAAUUACGACGAAACGAUCAUGAACCAUGAUACCUAUCUACGGGUUCUCUACAGCGAACGAUGAACGAGUAUUAUUCUAGAUAAUUCUUCUAGCAUACGUAUAUACAAAAAUAGUAAUUUAAAAUUCGAAUUAAUAUGCACAAAACAAUCUGUAAUUCAAUGUUCCAUCGACAUUUCAAUGAUAUUAGUUAGAAAAUAUUUUAACAGUUAUAAGCGUAGCGGAAAAGAAAUUUUUGAAAUUGAACGACCCACGAGAUGUCAUGAUUUCUUGUAGGUCACCAUCGCGCGUUGAAAGAAUGGAAAAACACGAGGCACAGAAACAGCAUGGAAAACAUAUCAGCAAGCAAUAAUUAUUUUGCACGAUAGAUGACCCCGCCGUCAUCAUGGAGUUAUCAAUUGUUUUCAAACUGGGCGAGAAUACUGAUACAGAAGCUCUUUGUUAUUUUUUAUCGUCUUCGUUGCAACCACCAUAUGUGCGCGAGUCCCGAUCAAGACGAAUCGCUUCGUAAAGGGUGGUUUCCCUAGCUUUUUCUAUGCACCAGGCAUUGACCUCGAUGAAUGUUGAAGCCCGCGAUAACAUGUGCCACAUUUCUGAAGGGAAUUAAUUGAAGCCAAGAUAAAAUGAACGGAUAAUAAAUUGACCUUUACGAGAAAACUCUAGAAAACUAUCACAAUUGUCAGUCACGCUUUCUUGUAUGAUACAAUACACAUAUGCAAUUUGAGUCAUGAAAAUCAAUACAUAUAGAAAAUAUUUACGAAUAUAUUACAUGUAUUAUAGAAACUAUUUUGAAAUUUCAAUAAAAUAUGACUGCCAAGAUUAAAUCGGUAAAGUUCGAAACAAAACAAAAUGUACGAGGACAAAAUGUACGAGAUAUGUAUUUACAGAGGAAGCAUACGUUUCGCAGAGAUCCCAAAAUUAUUUAAAUAGUCGAUUAUCCAGUAUAUUAGAUUCAUAAGAAUUUAUUAGAUUAUUAAAUUUAUAUGGAUUUAGUUAGAUUUAUUUCUAUAAAUGUUCAAAUACUUCCGUAAGCACUGACAUGAUAAAUUAAAACCUAGUAGCAUAUAUUUAAAGCGCAAUUUCUAAAAACAUGGUUUGUCCUUCAUGCCCUUAAUGUCAAUUUCCAUGAGCUCUACUCUGGCUAUCAGAGGGACACCCAUCAAUCCUCAUUCCCACGAGUUCCUGCCUAACCAUCGAUUCCUUCAAAUAGAUCAAUCCUGUCCACAAUUGAAACCCUCACGUGGUUCGUCAUCUCCCCUCUGCAUGCCUUACUGCAUUUGUAUUCGACUAUACAACGUGGUAUAUCACUAGUAGCGUAUACAUACUAUUCCAGACCAGAAGAGGGGAAGGUUAAUUUGCUGCCAGGCAUAGCUUGGGCACAGGACUGAAAAUAGAUCCUUCAUUCUAACACCAAAUGUGUCUUUGCUUUCAAAGGACACAGGAAACUGGGGAACAAAAUUUUUACUCCCUACUGUUUCCUUUUCUAUUUCGGCCAUUGCCGCUGCUGUUAAGUACUUCUUCGAAUUUGAUACAGGAUUAUUGUUAGUGCUGAUCCGCAAGUGGUGGCCAUCUUUCGACGAGAAUAUUGAUUAGAGUAGUCGUCGGGCAAACAAAAGAAUUCCAACAUAGUAAUUCGAUAAGCCACUUCCGUUUCGCUUUACAGUCUUCGGAUGUAACGUUUGUUCUUGAAUACUUUUUGCUUCUAGAUUAGGUAAUCUACCUUUUUAGGUUACUUUAGUUUCCAGUCCACGAUUCGAACGAGGUUAAUUACGUAGUUAGGUCUAUUGUAGGUGAUAGUCAUUUUCGAAUACUAAAGACAGGGAGAAAGAAUUUGUCACGACCUGAAUAGGCCAAUUGAUUAGAGUAGCCCACCGGGAAACGAAAGAUCCGGGUUUGUAUCCAGGGGUUCGGUUAAUUCGUCGCAUACUGUAUGUAUCAUUUCUUCUGCAACUGGUGACCUCUACGUGUUACAAAAUCAGUUUAUAACGACGGUUAAAAAGAGAGAAGAUAAAGUUCAACGUCCUGUUUUUGAGCCAAAAGCUACAAUAUGCUACAUACUUUGGAAGUUUAAUUAUAAACAGCUGUAUAUUACAUUAAUGCUAAUAUGUUAACAUAUGGUAGCACGUAUUAUAAAGAACAUCUAUUCAAUGGAAAUAUAUGUGUGCUGACGUUUAAUAAGAGAGUGGAUUAACAAAUUCUAUCCGAACAAUAUGUGUCCAGCUUAAAUAGACAACGAAUGGACAUGGUCCACCAGCGAUAGAAGAUUACGAACAAAGGGAAAAGCGGAAAUCAUGUGCCACCGCGUAAAUCAUCCGUGAAUACGCUGCAUCACGUCUAAUUACACGGGACACUUACUUUCCUCUGAUCCUGAACAUGAGAAAUGCACGAGUUAAUGUCAAAAAUUAAUAGUACCAUUAAACAUUUUCAUAAUUAAACAAGGACAGCUAGAUGUUUAAAAGAUAUUUAUUUUAAAGAUAUCCGAAAUAAAUUAUUAAUCUUCUUACUAUUAUCGGCUACAUAACAUUAAAGAUUAUUCGAAGGUUAACUACCGAGAAUAAUGUAAAUAAAUUACUAAUUUUUGUAUUAUUAUUGACUAUAUUUAAUAUAAAAUAUUUGUUUUGAGGUUAAUCGUAUAGGGAAUAUUGUAUAGGGAAUUAUUAUUGACUAUAUUUAAUAUAAAAUAUUUGUUUUGAGGUUAAUUGUAUAGGGAAUAAUGAAAGUAGUAAAUUAAAAAAAUGUUUCUAUUAUUGGCACGUUUAUAAAUAUUUCAUAGGUAUAAUCUAUUAGAACACCCGGUACAUGACUGACCAGAUGUAGACGCGAAGAAUUGAAACGGUAAGAACAGCUGCGGUUCCAAACGCGAGCUGUUAUUGUUUUUCUGACUCAUGAGUGGCAAUAACGGAAUGUCAACAGAAGUGUCGCUUCUGUUCAACUGCGAACUAUUUUCCGACGUACUUUCAAAGCAACUGUGUUUGACAGCCUUUAAGAAGAACCAUUAUUUCGCAGUAUAUUGCCGAUCAGUAAUAUCUAUAGUAGACAGUAAAGAGCUACAUGUUCUGCGAAAUACAAAUCCCCCUACAAGUUAAGAAAUUAUUGAGAAGAGAAGAAAGAUAUGAAUUCGAAAGAUAGGAAAGGUAGAAAUGACAUAACCUAUUGUUCGACGAAAGCUUUAAAUUGAAAUUGUAACGUACAAUUUUUAAUUUAUUUUUGACAAUAAGUAAUGAUUUUUGUCGACAAUAUUUUAAAAAAAAUACAAACGGAUCGAUAUUGUAGAAAAUAAUUUAUAUCCGACUGAAAGAGCAUUUGCUGAAUCCCGAAGUUCAGUCUGAAGAGUGGGAUUCAGCUGUAAUAGGGGUAGGGGGUUCAUGGUGUUCCAUGAAUUUUGUGCGCAUGCAUCCGUAAUCCGUGUGCACUGCGUCUGUACGUGUUUGUGCGUUUGUGUGUGUGUGGGAGGGGAUGUAGAAAAUACGGGUGUGGUUCGAUCAAUACGAACAUCCCAUGGAUCCAUCGGUGCGUGCCUCACACAGGUAUACACGUUUGUUUGAGGUGAUUCACCUCAAAUUGUGACCGUCUAUAAAAGUUAUUUCAGUUUAAAAUCCUACCUUUAACUCCUUAUCAUUACGUAAAAUAUAUAUCUUCGAGAGUUAACAAAUCUUUAAGAUAAAGUUGCAACGCUCAAUACCUGCUAUACUCAAAUAUUGAUAAUAGUAAUAAUAUUGACAGAAGUCAAUUUUUCUAAUAAUUAUUGUAGCUAUUAUAUAUUGUAUUGUAUAUUGUAUUGUAUUAUAUAUUGUAUUAUAUAUUGUAAUAGAGGAAGGUAAUAAAUUUUGAGGUUAAGAGAUCAUAAAGUGUUCGAAACCUAUAUAUUAUGAUUAUGAUCGUAUUUAUUACAUUCUAGAAAUUAUCAACAACUUUAUUAUUACAAAGGAAGAAAUGUAACGAACAGAUGUUCGACAAAGUUAUUUUUAAACCUAACCUAUAGGACGUGUUUGUGUGGGUCUCGCGCAGAAAAAUCGUCAGUAAAACCCGACGGAAAUGAGGCUUGCACGGAGAAGAGAUUACGGUAUAUCGACUGUUGAAUGGUAUCCGUUCAGUUUCCCAUAGCCCCGAUAUUAAGACCUCGUUAAUGUGAUAAAGCCGGUUAGUCAGAUAUAAUGGCGCCUUUCAUUAAGCACGUUGAAAGGUUGCUUGGUAAAGUUGGUGUACAAAUACCGAAUAUACAUAUAUUCCUAUCGUGUAAUCUAAUAUACGUUUUGUCUUGUGUAUUGUGAGACAUAAAGUGAGUUAUGCCCACGACUAAUUUCGAGGUUUCGUUUGAACAGCAAAAUUAAGUGUUCCUAUAAGUACUUAAACGUAUUAAGGCGAGUACACAUUGGCAUAACUUUCUUUCACUAUUUUAUACAUAUAUCAUAAUAUGUAUAUAUACAUAAAGGUUAUAAAAGUUUUCUUUACUUAAA